ensembl:lncRNA
GUGUCGGCCGCGUCCUACAAACCGGAAACUGGAACUUCAGGGGGCCAAGGCGCUUAGCUGAGGUCACACUAUCAGGAAGGUACGGAGGCAGGACUGGAACUGAGGAAGUGACCCCAAAGCCAGAGCAUCUUUCCUGCCCCCUUCCUUCCUGCCCUGCUGGUACAGGUGGACGGAUAUCCUUCAGUUCAGAGCAGACCGGCGCGUGCAGUACAGCUGGACCCAGGGGAAUGAAGGUCACCCCUGCUUCUAGGAGUGACGGAGUGAAGGGCUUGCUCUGAGAAGCAUGGUCUCUGUCUCAGAGCCCUGCAGACGCUCCACCGGGUGACCGAGCAGACUCCUGCCGCCAGAGGCCGGAGGGAAGGCUGCGGUAGGAGGCACCCCUCCCUCCAGAUGCGGCUCACAGGCAUCGGAGCUAAAGAAGGAGGAGGAGGUGAAUGUGGUCCUGGAGGCGCGCCGGAGGCGGGGCCGUCGCCGAGCAGGGUUAAUAUGGAGAUCCAACCAGUCCAUCCUAAAGGACAUCAGUCCUGAAUAUUCAUUGGAAGGACUAAAGCUGAAGCUGAAGCUCCAAUACUUUGGCCACCUGAUGUGAAGAAGUGACUCAUUUGAAAGGACCCUGAUGCUGGGAAAGAUUGCAGGCAGGAGGAGAAGGGGAUGACAGAGGAUGAGAUGGUUGGAUGGCAUCACUGACUUGAAGGAUAGGCAGGCACACCCCCUCGGCACUCCUGUGACAUUCAUCAGGCGACAUGGGUCGCGUUUGUCUGCUACGAGUUUUCCAUCCGCUGCAUCUCUGAAAGAGAUCACUCACCAGGGCAGUUUGUGUCCGUCAGCGUGAGAUGGAUCUUCAAAGUCACUCCUCUGUCAGGAAAUCUUCAGGGACACCAAG